UACGUAGGGUGCAAGCGUUGUCCGGAAUUAUUGGGCGUAAAGAGCUCGUAGGCGGUCUGUCGCGUCGGCUGUGAAAACUUGGGGCUCAACCCCAAGCCUGCAGUCGAUACGGGCAGACUAGAGUGCGGUAGGGGAGACUGGAAUUCCGUGGUGUAGACGGUGAAAUGCGCAGAUAUCAGGAGGAACACCGGUGGCGAAGGCGGGUCUCUGGGCCGUAACUGACGCUGGAGGAGCGAAAGCCGUGGGGAGCGAACAGG
rnacentral:rRNA from 1 species